AGUGAACGCUGGCGGUAGGCCUAACACAUGCAAGUCGAACGGCAGCACAGUAAGAGCUUGCUCUUACGGGUGGCGAGUGGCGGACGGGUGAGGAAUACAUCGGAAUCUACUUUUUCGUGGGGGAUAACGUAGGGAAACUUACUCUAAUACCGCAUACGACCUACGGGUGAAAGCAUGGGAUCUUCGGACCCUGCGCGUGUGAAUGGGCCGAUGGCGGAUUAGCUAGUUGGCGGGGUAAAGGCCCACCAAUGCGACGAUCGGUAGCUGGUCUGAGAGGAGGACCGGCAACAGUGGGACUGAGAUACGGCCAAGACUGCUACGGGAGGAAGCAGUGGGGAAUAGUGAACAAUGGGAGGAAGCAUGAUGCAGCAACGCCGCGUGCGGGAUGACGGCCUUCGGGUUGUAAAAAGCUUGCGCCUGUGACGAAGCGUGAGUGACGGUAAUGGGUAAAGAAGCACCGGCUAACUACGUG
rnacentral:rRNA from 1 species